GGCUUGUCUGGCAGGGCCUCUUUGCGUCCUCCCUGUACAUUCCUAAGUUCUGUGAAAGAGGCACUAGCAGCUCAGCCUAGCAAGGAAGGAAAAAAGAGAGGAAGUCUCUGCGUUCUGAUUACACCCUGAAUUCCCUUGUAGUGAGCUUGCUUCUCUCCACCCACUUCUUACUGAGAACUCUUUAACUUGACGGUGAACAACUUAAAACUUGAUCCUGCAGGAGUUACCUGAAAGUGAUUUUGAGUAUUCAUUGAAUCGAAAGAACAAAUCACCUACUUCAGGCGGUGGGAAGCAUAUGGAAAUUAUAUUAGAACUUCAGCAAAGUGCACAGCUGCAUAAUACAGAAGCCGGCACUCAGAUUGACAGGCAAAUAAGCCAGCUUGUGGAAGGGGCCUCUGGGUGGCAGCUCUGGGCUUUUGGGUGUUGGACAACUAUAGGCAAAACUGAAAUGGAACAGGGGCAGAAAAUAGCACACUUUUACUCUACGCAACUGUUGCUUUCGCAUGAUCUUCAGGAACUUUACUGGGAUAAUAGUCCACAUGAAAUUCCAAGCAUUCUCUUCAAAUGGUUAUUGAUCAUUAAAAUGGCAUUGUAAUGGGAGAACUCUGAAAUAAGAGAGCUGUUUCGGAGAUUAAGACAACUCUCAGUGUCAAGAUUUGAACAAAGAAUGAAAUAUAGAAUGUGACCAGAGUAGGGGUGAUCAUCUCAUUGAGAAGCAUACAGUGUGAAAAGGUUUUUCAAAACACUUCGGGAUAAAUAACAGAUGAAUUCUUAAAACUGUUAAUCUCUGGCAUCCUUUACAACCAAUCAGAGAACAUUUUACACACCCAUUAAGGCAUUUGAACUGGGCAAACAGGACGACAGCAGCAGUGAGCAUGAGAUCAUUGCAGCCGUGUAGCAAACUGGCAUCCUGCCUUUUCACCCCUUUGGUUCGGGAGAGAAACGUGUGCAGUCCUCAUUUCUAAAGUCAGCACAGCCCGGAAGGAUUCCUGGUCUCUCCCACCUUCUACCAUUCUGCUGCCAGUGACGGCAAGGAUUGGUGCAGCUUCUGCGCAGUGCUUUGUGCCUGGAAUACAGAGAAGGAAGAGAAAGAAGACAAGCACUCUCGUCCUUCUUUGCUAAGAAAUAACAGGAGCCCUGAAGAAAAAAAAUUGUCUUACUUCAUGCAAGAGUUUUGAAAAAAAAAUAUAUGAAAGACUCCUACUCAAAAAAACAAAAACAAAAACAAACAAAAAUCCAAACCAAAACAAAUCAAAAAAAAAAAAAAAAAAAAAGCAAACAUUGGCUUGUAUAACUACAGAGACUUCGGGCUUGGUAAAGCAGCUUUUAAGGCAACAUAAUCAAAUGAGCCUUCUUUAUUUUUAUGAUUUCAAAAAAUAUGGCAUAAUUAACAAUACAUUGCUCUUGGUGAAAUCGCACCUUUCAUAUCAGGGAAAAACUUAAAAUGGAUAUGAGAAGUGAAGAAAGUGAUCAUAGGAGAAAACCAUCUCAGAUCAACCACUUCAGAAGAACCAGAUUCUACUUCUGUGGCCAGGACUUUUAUGUUAUGGCUGGUCCGAUUGUUUUACCCUGCGUUCUGUGCUACUAAGCCUUGGAUCAUUCCUAAAGUACAAAUUCUGUUCUCGAACCACAAACAAGGCUAAAAGAUCGGAGGAAAUUCAGUGAAUAUACUGGAUUGAGAUUGUGUGUUUUCAAGAGUAUCGAGCAUUAUAAUGUAGUUAUUCAAGAAAUAGAAUCAUUUUUCUUUCUUAUGAUGUUGCCAGGAUUUUAAGUUACAUGUUUAUUAAGUGGCAUUGCUCAAAUAACUACAGAGUAUGCAUGGAAAUAUUUGUUGUCUGGGUAGUUUGGAGAUUUAAUGAAAAAAAUUGAGCUUCAGAGGUAUUAAAUUAUGACAUGCAAAAAAGUUUUUGUUUGAUUCUUAACUGCAACGGUAUAUGUGUAAAUCAGAUUUAGAGGGUUAUAUGUCCUGGGCCCACCUUAACAGUUGUGAUGUAUAGAAGUGUAAUGGAAAGCAAAAUUUCAAUUAGGGUUCCAUUAACUGGCAUAUAACCCUUCUUUAAUGCAAUAGUGGCUAUGGUGUUGCUGUACAGAUCGGCUAGCAGCAGAUUUUAACCCAUUUUUAGUCUCUUUCUUUGAAUCUAAUGGAAUGGCUCUUAACUGUUCAUUGUCUGCAUUGUUUUUCAUAUUCUUCAUUAUUUGAAGGUGUGGAAUUAGGCUGUAAAUGGUCAUCGUGAUUAGUCACCUCAUCCUUUACUUAUCGUUUAUAUGUCUACUUAUGUAUUUUAAUUAGUGUUUAGAGGAAAAAGUCUAACCGAACCCAACUGUAAUUCUAAACCAUCCUUAUUACUGGAAGAAGAAUUCUACUGCAUCAAACCAGACUUUUCCUAGUCCCUGAGACCCUAACUUGUGAGGUAUUUUAGUAACAUCACAAGUCAGGCUCUUGGGACCUAGGCGGAGGGGAACCAGCAGCUUUGGACCUUAUUGAUUGUCUGCAGUUACCAGCAGAACAAAAGAACAUACCUAGAUCCUGCCUAGGAGAAAAGAACAAUGCAUUUCUUUAUAAUCAGCAAUGUUUUCACCAUGACUCCCCCCCAAAAUACUGUUGUCAGAAACUGUAGUCUAAAGUGAUUACACAGUUACACUGAAAUAGCUAUUUGUUUUAUAAAGACCAUACGAAAGCAACAGAGUAGAUAUCUAUGUAAGAGGCAGAAUUAAAAUACGAGUGGUUUUAAAUGCUUCUUUUGGUGUAUUUUAAGUGGUUUGUGUAAGAGAAUAUCUCCUUAGUUAAUGAAGAGAAUUGUUUAUAUUUAUAACUUUUUUUUCAUUUGCAUAGAAUUAUAUACAUUGGCUACUUAAAUCAAUCUUGUUAUGUCUUCAUACAACUAUGGCUCGGAAUAUGUAAUCUACAGCUCUGAUGCUUGAGGCCUAGAAAUAAAAUGAUUUACAGUCUUUUUUACUGACCCUAUUAGAUUUUACUACCGAUUUAAGGAAAAUGCUGUUUAUAUUUCGUAUUUAUUGCCAGAGUUUUCCUCAGUCUUUAACCCAAACAAAAUACUUUAAAUGUAUCAGAAAUUCCCUUGUUUAAAGAGCCCAAGAAUGAGAGUUGUCCUCAAAAAUUUAGGAAAAUAUGGCACCUUUUGGUUUUCACAUUUUACUUUGUGUGUGGGUGUGUCAAGGACCUGUGUGAGAUAAAGCAGUGAACCCCACCUAUGAAGUCAAACUGUCCCGGCUCCUCUGACAACUGAAUGUGAACUGCAUAGUUUCAGUUUACUAAGAAUUUUAGUUUUAUUAGCAGCAAGUAUUCCAACCAUAACUAAUAUGUCACAUUUGGACAUUUAUUGGUCAUUGACACCUUAAAUGUGUAUUUUUUUGAGACAAAUCAGUAUACUGAAUCUAUUAAAAAAUGUUACAAUAGUGUUACAUUACAAAUAUCAUGAUUUAAAAUGAAAAUGAGAGACUUUCCAAUUAAGAAGAAAGAAAGUGACUUUCUUCUUUUAACUCCACUACUUUACAUUGGUAGCAUAAAUUAUUUUCUGCAUUGUUAAAAUAAAUGUAUGACUGUAUUUUAGAAUACUGUAUGGAGUCUUUAUUCAUUUUUUUCUUGAAUUUGAUAGAAUUACUUGUGUUUAAAAUAUCACAAAACACAAAUCACCUAUAAAGUUAUAUUACUUAAAAAUUAAUACAAUAUUGUGAAGAGAGUCCUUAUCUCUACAAGGCACAAGAAUAUUAUUAACCAUGUAUCUACUCUAUACAUGGUUCGAUUUUUUUGUUUAUAUCACCUAUUUAAUUUAUCUAGAAACUCUGAAAUUUUCAGUGUGCACGUGUUUGUAUAAACAUGUUUUAAAACUCCAAAUGAAAGGAAACAGUAUAACCUGUAAAGAUCCUUAGAAAUAUUUAUCUUUUACUUCUUUUUAUCUCUUCUUGCAAAUGAACAUUUUUAAAAGCCAAAACUUUUUCAGUUACAAAUAACUUUCUAUGUGUAUGUACAUGCAUACAGAAACAUUUACUAGCAUUGUUCACACAAUGGAUCAGCAACUACCUGUUAUACAACAAUCACAUACAGGUAUAUGUUUACUGACACUUGUUUUUAACAUGAUCAUACAAAAUAUGAAUAAGAUGUUCUUUCAGUUUGGUUAUAAAAUAAGGUAAGGGAUAGAUGUUUAUUGGUUAUAGUAAUAUGAGAUACAGAAUAUUUUAAAUGCAAACAGUUUCUUUUUGUUAUCAUAUUUAUGAAUCACACAUAUUAUAUAUUUACUUAUGUUCCAUAAAAGAAAUACAGCAAAGCUGAAUUUAGAGUGCAACGUUUGUUCAUUUUUCCUGUAAACAUGCAAACUAUGUAUGUUUUCUUUAUUGCAUUCUUUGAACCUCUCUAUGUAACUUUGCUAUGUAAAUUGUCUUUUGUGAGAGUAUCAUUGAUAAAGCUUUCCUCUUAGUCCAUAAAGGUGUGUGUAGACAUAAGUGAGUAACUGGGUUUAUAUAAGCUACUUUAUACUGUAUGUGUACAGACAGAUGCCACUUUCUCUGCACUUCUGUUUCAGCUGUGACAGGAUAAUAUUGUUUGUUUGGGGGCUUUAUAAUAUGAUUUGGAAAAUCAGAUCAUACUAAGCUUAAAAUAAAAGGGAGAUCUACAACAAAGAGCGAGAAAAUGAUGUGUGUUGCAUACAAAAAAAGCAGUGAUAUUAACAAUUCCAUGGCUUCUUGGUUGGGAGGACAGCCAGAGCCAGACGCAUACAUUAAGAGCUGUCUGCUGCCGAUGUGAGCUUGCUCAAUGCGGUGGAAAUGAGGAAUCACCUCCUCUCUGACACCAGCUUAUUUGUACAUUUUAAUUUUGAAAUAGCAAAUCACUGUUUUAUAUAACUAUACCACCCCCCCGCUUGAUUCUUUUUAUUUCUCAUAUUGUUUGCUUAUUUACUGUGAACUUUUGAGUUCCUUUUAAAAACAAAAUUCAUUAUUCAACUUAAACAUCUACCAAAGACCAAUGAAAUAUUACUUUUUCUUUUGUCUCUUUUGUGUUACUCUUAUAAUAUUGUGAUAUUCAUGCUUUUAACUUUACAUCUCUUUAAGGAAAACAUCAAUUUUCCAAAAUGACAUUCUUGAACGCCUUUUAGGAUCCAUCAAGAAAGCUACUAUGGAAUUUUGCCAAAUCUAAGUAUGAUUAUAUUUCAUGGGAUCAAUAUCUUUCUCAAUUUAAAAGUCCUAAACACUUCAGGAUUCCAGUGAAGCCACAGAAGAGAGUAGAGAUAUUCUUAAAUCAUUCAAACAUUAGACUACAUUAAUAAUGUCUAGAAGAGGAAUAAGUAUCUCAGGGGAAUUACAAUCCAAAUUAAUUACUUAUGAAAUUGGAAAAGGUACAUUCUACCUUAAACUCUUCUUCAAAUGGACAUGCUGGUAAACAUAUCUGAACUUGGUCUAAUGCACCUUAAAUAUGUAAAUGGUUUUACAAGCUGUCAUGAUUGGGUGAAUUUUGAGAAAAGCAGGACAUAAAGGGUUAGCUAACGCCCAAAUUUUCUUGCCAUUUACACAUGCAGUGCAGUCUACAUUUCUGUGGGCAGCAAAUGCAGGCAUCAUUUUGAUUGCUUGGAUUCUUUUGUUUAAUUUCUUACUAGACAUUUAACUUAGCACUCAAAUCCCACUGAUCCCUUAGUAACUGCAUUUGGAAAAGGAAAACAAAGUUCCUAAUUUAGAGAAAUUAAAAAAAAAAUCCUGGGCAUUUGUAAACAUUUGAAAAAUAGUGUUUUUUGUGUAGCUUUGCAAAGAUAUUUUUAGUUUUCAGAAACUUAGUUGCUAUUAUUAUCUGUGUGUCAUCUUCACAGUUAGUAUUCUUAUUUAUCAGUGACCAGGUGCACAAGGGUUUAUUCAUAUAUACAUAUACACAUACACACAUACAUAUAUCUUCAUUUCUUAAGUAGUUUUAUUAGAAACAGUGUAAAAAUUGAGGCAUCUUGAUAAAAUCAUCCACGUGAUUUUUUCAUUAAGUUAGCUUCAAUUUCAUUGAUUGUUACUUUUCCCUACCUCUCUUUAUGCUCAGUGUAGCUUUAUCAGAUGAAGUGCAUUACCAGCUAGUAUUAACUUGUAUAUAAUAUUUUACUUGUGGGAGUUUGAAAUCAGGUAACUUGAGGGUAAAUGAGAUUAAUUAAUUUAAGAUUAAAUUGUUUCAUUUUUUUAUAUAAGGUAAUUCCAUGCAUAUUUUAUGGAUAAUUUAAAAGUGAAAAAAAUCUGUUAGAGUAAAUUAAUUUUUUAUUGUUGAUAUAAGUAAUGUGAUUUUAAGUUUGUUACCUUCAUAAUUAAUUCUUUAACAAUCAAAAUAUGUGUAACAGUAAUCAUGGACUACAUAUUUUGCGUCAAAAUAAAAAAUGAGCAAUGUUGUAUCAGAACCAGACUUCUUGGUGACCAGAAUUUCUGAUAUAAGGGAAGACCCACAGGGAAGACCAAUACAAACAAGAUUAGAGGGACAAGUCAAAACAUUGGAAUUAUCUUAUUAUGGCAUGAAAUGAACCAUUCACACCUACUCCAAGAAAGUGAAGCAUUUCUAUCACUGUCCUGGAAAACAGAAUUAAGGUAAAAAUAUGAAGACACAAUAUGAAAAGCCAAUUUUCCUUGCAAAGCACAAUAAAUAUAAGUAUAUUCUUGGAAAUGGAAAAAAAGUACAUAUUAUUAUUUUGAGAAAUGUAUGGCUUUAAAAAGUCACCUUAUGGUUACUGCCUUUUUGAUUCUUGUUAUUUAAAAAAAACUUGUAAAAAUUAGUGGUUUAUAAUUUAUAGUUAGCUAGCUCAUUAUGACAGAACUCUAAUCUCAUAUAUAUCACUUGUCAGAUAUUAGAAUACAUUUUUCACUAUUUAUUGAGGCUAAUAAAAUUAUAGUUUUUAUAUGCAUGCUUUAUUAUAGUUUUUAUAUGGAUGUGUUUUAUUCAACACUAUGGUUUUUGUACAAAUAUUCCAAUUAUUCAACAAUGCAUCACUAGAAUUAGACCUCUUUUCUAUUUUGAAACACUUGGAGAAUAUCUUAUUUUGACUCGGAGAGCUGAAUUGUAGGUUAAUGAGUUCUUUUCUAGACCUGAGGUUCUUUGAAUCUAUUUUAAUUCCACAUCAGGAAUUGAAAAGGUUUUCCAGGAAGAGUUAUAUAAAUCCACAAACUGAAAUAUGGGAGUCUAAGACCUACUUUUUCUAUUUCUGUUUGCCUAUUGCUUUUGUCCCAAAGUAAGAAUAGAGAUAUAUUGCUUUUUUUUUCGACAUAUUGCUUGUUAUAGCUGAUUAACAUUUUGAAUACAUUUUUCUAUGUGUUAAUUAAGCUCUUUCAUCUUAUAUGUGAUUUUAAAAUUAUUCUAUCAAGUAAUAUUAAACUUUUCACUAUUAGGAAUCUAGAGAAGACUGAGAUUUUAGGACAAAAGUUUGAAGUUGUUGUAAAAACAGACAAGAACAGCCAUAAAUAACUGAGUUUUUAAUUUCUACAGAACAAUGGCAAUAAGAUAAUCUGAACAAAAUUGAAUCAGAGAUUGUUAUACUUAUCAUAUGACAGGAAAUUUUAUUUAAAAUAUUAUUUUAUUGUGGUGAAAACACAACGUUAUCAACCUACUUAACAGAUUUUUAUGUGUAAAAUACAUGGUCAUUGGCUAUAGACAAAAUGUUGCACUGUGGAUUUCUAGGGCUUAUUCAUUUAGCUUAUCUGAAAUGUUAUGUGUGUUGGAUAGUAACUCCUCAUUUCUUCCUACCCACAGAGGAUGGCAACUGCUAUUCCACUCAUUGCUUCCACAAAUUUUACCAUUUUUUGUUCCUCACCUAGGUAAGCCAUGUAGUCAUUGUCUUUCAGUGAUGGAGUCAUCAGUAUUGUUUAUUAAAAAUUUUUCUUCCUUUUUUGGUGGGCUAAUAUUCCAUCAUUUAUACCACAUUUCUUUAUUUAUCUAUUUUUUUUGAUGGACAUUUAGGUUGUUUCCACAUCUUGGCUGUUAGUAAUAAUGCUUCGAUGAACAUGAGAGUAAUAUCCCUUAAAAAUCCUGAUUUCAAUUCUUUUCAAUAAAUUCCCAGCAGAGGUAUUGCUGGUUCUCAUAUGAUAGAAUUAUUCACAAUUUUGGAAGGAACCUUCACCUGUUUUCCAUGGCAGCUCCACCAUGUUGUAUUACCAACAGUAAAGAAGUAUUGCCAUUUCUCCUCAUCCUCACCAAAACUUUUCCUCUCUAGUUUGUUGAUAAUCCAUAUCCUGACAGGCUUGAGGUAGUAUUUCCUUGUAGUUUUGAUUUGCAUUUCCCUAAUGACUAGUGUUAUUAAAAGUUUUUCAAAUACCUGUUAGCUAUGUGUUUGUCUUCUUUAAAGAAGCAUUCGUUCAAAUUUCUAUUUCAUUUUUAAUUAUGUUUUGUUACUGAGUUUCUUAUGUAUUUUGGAAUGUAAUAACUUAUUGGAGGAGAUUCUUAUUUUUUUUUAAUUUCAUAUUUCAUAACAUCUCAGACCCAUGAAAUUAGCUAUAUUAAAGUAGGUGAUUUUGUGUUGCUUACUCUGACAAUACUGAUUAGAAAAUUAGCAGAAAUUGGUGAAAUGCAGCUUAUAUGAGGGAGCAGGCUACUUUUUAUUGGUUUAAUUAAACCCAGGUUCUGAGAGAUUUACUCAAUAACUUUAAAUUCAGUUAAGUAGAGAGUCAUGGCAGUUACUCAUAAAGCCUAAGAAGGUGUAUUUCAGCAGCUGUUUAUGUUGACAGCAUUCAGUGUAAUUGUAGUAUGAAAACAAGUUUCAUGAGAUAAAUUUCUUUUUUGAAUAUGCAAGUAAAUAUAUUUUGCAUUAAAUUCAAUUGUUAUCAUGUGUGCAGUUUAUGUUCUUAUGUGACAGUUAUAGAUUUUUAAAUAUCCAUUUAUGAUUCAUUUGAAAAGGUUUUUCUAUAAUUUGGUUGAGUUGUAACAAUGCUUAUUCUCAUUGUACAUUAUCAGAAUUCUAUAUUGAUGACAAAGUAGUUUAUCAGAAAAAAAAGCAUAUUCUCUGUUGAUACUUGAAAGUAAGCAUCACUUAGUAUAAUCCUGAUAAUGAUGAAAAUUUAUAUAGGAGGAUGUCACCUAGGAAGGAAGCCACCACUUCAGAAGUUUAAAUAUUCUCUUAGAGCCCUCUUUUCUUCUAUUUUUUAAAAAUUAUGCAUGACCAGUGAAUUGGAUUGUGUAUUGAAAAUGAUCAUUCUUGGGGGGGUGGAUACCGGGGAUUGAACACAGGGGAACUUAACCACUGAGCCACAGUUCCAACUCUUUUUUUAUUUUAUUUUGAGGCAGUGUCUUGCUAAGUUGCUUAAGACCUUGCUAGGUUGCUGAGGCUCGCUUUGAACUCAUGGCCCACUUGACUCAGCCUCCUGAGCCACUGGGAUUACAGGCAUGUGCCAACAUGCCUGAAGUGAUUUGGUAUUUUUAAGUAAAACAAAACUAAUAGAUCUUUGUAAGUUUCAAAUCUGAGAACUUGACCUAUUACACAUGUAAGGGGUGUUUGCUAGUUGAAAUGUUGAACAAAUAACAAAAUUGUAGAAUCUUAGAAUUAUGAUACUUUAAAGAUCAGUUGCUUUCUCCUGGAAGUCUGGAAACUUUUAGAAAUAGAAUUAACAUUUUCUAAGGUGGAGCAUUUUAUACACAGCCAAUGACAUCUUCAGAUAGCUCUAAUUUUUGAAAAGGUUUUUCAUAUACUGAGCCAAAUUUUGUCUUUGGAGCAAUACCAAAUAUGAUGACAUGACAGUCAUAUUGAAGGUUAGUUUUCAUGCUCAUCUAUCCUACAAACCAUUAAUUUACUAUAAUAAAUUUUCAAGAAUCUUAAAAUUAUGGCAUAACUAUUAUGCAUGUACAUGGACUUAAGGAUACAGUUCUUAAGAUCACAAAGUUCACCUGAGAUAUUUUUAGCCAGACUGUAGUAAAUUAGUCCAAUCACAGAGUUAUAGGAAGGAGUCCACACAAGACCACUGUUACUUCUGACAUCACCUGCAAGUUGGGGUUUUCAAAAACAGUCUUCAGUUUUCAAUGAGACUCAGAACUUACCAAAACUUAUUAUGCCCACAGUUCCAUUUAUGAGAAGGAAAUAAUACAGAUAAUCACCCAAAGGAAGACACAUGGUACAAAGGUUGGAAAGACUCCAAAUGUGAGUCUAUUGUCUUCAGAGUGUGCUCCCCUUUCAGUUUAUGUGGGAUCACAUAUGUAUUGGCCUCUGUUGUGCUACAGGAAUAGAAUCCCACAGACUGAGAGCUAUUUAUAAUAUGUAUAAAUAUAUUUCUUACAGUUUCAGAGGCUGGGAAGCCCCGACUGAGGAGCCAGUGUCUG